GGAUCGAUGGGAGCUUGCUCCCUGAGAUCAGCGGCGGACGGGUGAGUAACACGUGGGUAACCUGCCUGUAAGACUGGGAUAACUCCGGGAAACCGGGGCUAAUACCGGAUAACUCAGUUCCUCGCAUGAGGAACUGUUGAAAGGUGGCUUUUCGCUACCACUUACAGAUGGACCCGCGGCGCAUUAGCUAGUUGGUGAGGUAACGGCUCACCAAGGCAACGAUGCGUAGCCGACCUGAGAGGGUGAUCGGCCACACUGGGACUGAAACACGGCCCAAACUCCUACGGGAGGCAGCAGUAGGGAAUCUUCCGCAAUGGACGAAAGUCUGACGGAGCAACGCCGCGUGAGUGAAGAAGGUUUUCGGAUCGUAAAACUCUGUUGUUAGGGAAGAACAAGUGCCGUUCGAAUAGGGCGGCACCUUGACGGUACCUAACCAGAAAGCCACGGCUAACUACGUGCCAGCAGCCGCGGUAAUACGUAGGUGGCAAGCGUUGUCCGGAAUUAUUGGGCGUAAAGCGCGCGCAGGUGGUUUCUUAAGUCUGAUGUGAAAGCCCACGGCUCAACCGUGGAGGGUCAUUGGAAACUGGGGAACUUGAGUGCAGAAAAGGAAAGUGGAAUUCCAAGUGUAGCGGUGAAAUGCGUAGAUAUUUGGAGGAACACCAGUGGCGAAGGCGACUUUCUGGUCUGUAACUGACACUGAGGCGCGAAAGCGUGGGGAGCAAACAGGAUUAGAUACCCUGGUAGUCCACGCCGUAAACGAUGAGUGCUAAGUGUUAGAGGGUUUCCGCCCUUUAGUGCUGCAGCUAACGCAUUAAGCACUCC
rnacentral:rRNA from 1 species